GUGAGUUUGUGUUGGUAUAAAGCCAAACACGCCGAGUUAAGUCACCAAACAGCGUUUCGUUUAUGUAACAGUCUGCACGCAAGGUCUCUGCUGGAGUACGCAGCUAACUUUAGCUUACCUAACAAGUUAACCAUUAACUCGAAACAGACCACACAGUCAAGCAAAACUCACCUUCCAGGUCCCCAGUCCCAAAAUAGGGCACUGUGCGCCGGUGUUGAGCUUCACUGUCGUUACCAUUUCUUCAGAGGACGCGCGGCUGUCACGGUCGAGCGGGGAAGGGGCAGCAAACGCAACGCAGACAAAGCUGAGGGGUCGUCGAUCGAUUAGUGAUGCCUUUUACUUCAUUCGGGUGAGAUGAGGCCACACACCCUUAUCAAUUUAAAUUUAUUUGGCUUUACCUUCUCUGAACAUUUUAACGACCAAAAGCAGACCCAGUAAAGGGAUUAUCUAUCUGGUUGUGAACACCUGUGAGGUAAUUUACUAACCACCCUGUUAAAUAUAAUAUGUUGUUUAAGAACUGCUUUAAAAUGAUUAACAAAGAAUAAAAAAUAUAAUUGAAGUUUGCUAAAAAAAAAAAAAAA
rnacentral:lncRNA from 1 species